rnacentral:lncRNA from 1 species
CCGGAUGCAUCCUGUCCACCUUGGAUCUUCGAAACUGUGAACUGAAGAAGGCCUCUUUUCUUUUGAACUCACCCAGGCAAGCAGGUUGAAUCUGAUGCUGGCCCACAGGAAUGUGUGGUCUCUCACACAUCCAUCUACAAAUGCGAUCCCAUCAGCCAUGGAGUUCUCAUGAGCAGAAGCCUGUAUGCUGUUAUGCCUCCAGAAACAGGAGCUAAAUAAAUC